rnacentral:rRNA from 1 species
GGAUGCGAUCAUACCAGCACUAAAGAUCCCAUCAAAACUCCGCAGUUAAGCGUGCUUGGGCGAGAGUAGUACUAGGAUGGGUAACCUCCUGGAAAGUCCUCGUGUUGCAUCCA